rnacentral:rRNA from 1 species
AUUGAACGCUGGCGGCAGGCUUAACACAUGCAAGUCGAGCGGAGAUGAGGUGCUUGCACCUUAUCUUAGCGGCGGACGGGUGAGUAAUGCUUAGGAAUCUGCCUAUUAGUGGGGGACAACAUUCCGAAAGGAAUGCUAAUACCGCAUACGUCCUACGGGAGAAAGCAGGGGAUCUUCGGACCUUGCGCUUAUAGAUGAGCCCAGGUCGGAUUAGCUAGUUGGUGGGGUAAAGGCCUACCAAGGCGACGAUCUGUAGCGGGUCUGAGAGGCUGAUCCGCCACACUGGGACUUAGACACGGGCCGGACUCCUACGGGAAGCAGCAGUGGGGAAUAUUGGACAAUGGGGGGAACCCUGUUCUAGCCAUGCCGCGUGUGUGAAGAAGGCCUUAUGGUUGUAAAGCACUUCAAGCGAGGAGGAGACUACUGAGACUAAUACUCUUGGAUAGUGGACGUUACUCGCAGAAUAAGCACCGGCUAACUCUGUGCCAGCAACCGCCGUAA